CCUGAGACAGUUGUAUCCAGUGCUGUCUUCAGGGUGGAUUGGAUUGUGUGGAGCCAUAAUCUUGUUCUCAGAACCCCCUGACUGCCAGGAAAAGCUUGCGCAUCCCUGAUCUAGAUGGUUGUAUCAUGUGGGAGAGCAAGAUAGGACAAACAGAAGAUGAUGCUAUGACCUUCUGGAAAAUAGCUUCUGCUCAGAUUGAAGACCUCGGUGACAAAUGCGUUCGUUUAUGGACCAGAUACACAGUGGACCCUUUGGAUAACUGAAUGGAGAAACUACGUUGCUACUCUACUUUUACAUCCUUAAAAUGAAAAAAUCGAGAGUUAUAAAGGCUGAGAGAUUUUCCCAGGGACACUGCAGAGCAGAUAUCCAAUCUACUGGUUCCUGGUCCGCUGCCUUUCCAUUGUGCCACACGGGCUGUCUGAGAAAGAUAGACCUUCAACCAGCCAACCAGCCAGCCGGUCAGCUAAAGCAGACUGAGCACACAGAGGAUCCAGAGCAAUGUCCUAGUAACUGUAUCCAAGAUGUAUAUUGUUUUUCUCUUGUGCGUUUGUGGCGGCAGGAAGCGAGAAUGUCUGAUGGAUGUUCCAAGUCUAAAGAACUCUGCUUGUAUCUCAUCUCUCAACGUUACCUGGGGGACCUCUCUGGUUCCUGUCAAGAUUAUAUGUUGCAAACAAUAGAAAUCUAUUCUUGAAAACUCAAGCAAAAAGAGAAUUGACUGGAAGGCUAUAGGGCACCUCAACAUCAAAAGAAGCUCAAGCACCAGCUUUGAGAAAGAGCGAGAACCUGGAAAGCUCUAAGGAUUUUGGGAGCAGUAGUGAAUUUAAUAGUCCUAUCAAAGUGUCAUCACAGAGAGGAAUCAGCUUCUGCCAUUCUUCCUGUCUUUGAGCAUUCAGAUGAGGUAACAUCUUCAGGUUCCAGAGGUCGGGAGGUGGAUAUCUUUUGGAGGACUGCAGUAAGGGAUGUAUGUGGGAGAUAGUCUUCCCCUAUCUAGCAUCACGUAUCUGCUUUCUACAUCAGUUAAAAGAAAGAAUCCUGACUUAUGCAGUGGCCUCCUUCAGAAUUCAGGCACCUGCAUUAUCAGAGGCUUGGUCUGAAUCAGAUGAAAGGUGGCAACAUGGCAAAAUAAAAUGAGCAUGUAUAGCACGCCUUCCGGGCAGCAAGCAUGGAGCCAGGCGCUUCCUCAAGGACUGUCUCUCAAGUGCAAGGGUGGCGGCCUGGACUGAUGGGACGCGUGUGAUGCUGACUGUGGAAGCUGAGAACAACAUUGUAACCAUGCCCUGCGUGCUGGUGCUCAACCUGAACCUCUGAUUGGGAGGAAUUAAUCUGGUUCAAAAUGUCAGUAGUGCUGAGAUUGAGAAACCCUGAAGUAAAUGGAAAGGAAUCCUUCUGUCGAUGAGUCAUGAAUAAAUCCUAAUCAAGAAACCAGUCUAUCAACAAGCAUCUGCUGCCCUUCUGCUCCAGGCCUGUCCUCUCCUGAACACAGAGUGUGAGGAGCUGACGUUUACUGAUACGAUGUCCAACUUGAUGCCCAGGUGUUAGACUAUUCCAAAAUGCAACCUGUUUCGACAUGUUAACUCCGUUCUUCUCAGUUCAGUGGCUAUCAGCAUGUCAGCACCUGCAGAUCAUUCCAUGAAGUUGUGGAAAGAGCUGAUUUUUAAUUCAGAUUAUGUGAAAGUUACAGGAAUUUAUCUUAGAAAAAAAAAUAGAC
ensembl:lncRNA